rnacentral:rRNA from 1 species
GAUCCCUUAUAAUAAUAAAGAAAUUAAGAUUUUGCUCUUAGAGGCUUGUAUCUCGUGUAGUUGUAGUAGUUAAAGUAAUGGUUUAACUAGCCUUUUACACGUAGUCGAAACUGAGAGGUUGAUCGAUCACAGUGGGACCGAACAAAUCCCACGAUUAUUAUCACAGCAGUGAGGAAUAUUGGUCAAUAGCCUAACGGCUGAACCAGCAACUUGGAAGAAUGUAUAGCACUUAUAUACAAUGAGUGCAAAAUUGAUUAUAUCAAAUAAAAUUCUAGGUAGACAUAUGAUAAUGACAAAGUCUGCUUAAGUCUUGACCAAAUUACGUGCCAGCAGUCGCGGUAAUACGUAAAAGACUAGUGUUAUUCAUCUUUAAUUGGUUUAAAGGGUACCUAGACAGUAAAUCAAGCCUUAGUAGGGACUAAUUUGCUAGAGUUACUUAUGAGGGGGUUUUAAAGUACUACAGGUGUAGAGAUGAAAUUCUAUUAUACCUUUUUUCGAAAGAAAAACUAUGGCACAGGUAAAGGUGAAAACAUCCCCUUAUGUGAUAACUGACGUUGAGGGACGAAGGCUUCAUGUCACGAACAGGAUUAGAUACCCCAGUAGUAUAAGCAGAAAAUGAUGAAUGUCAUAGAUUAGAUAAACAAUUUAUUCUAUAAAUGAAAGUGUAAGCAUUCCACCUCAAGAGUAAUUUGGCAACAUUGGAACUGAAAUCAUUAGACCGUUUCUGAAACCAGUAGUGAAGUAUGUCGUUUAAUUUGAUGCCACGCAAAAAACCUUACCACAAUUUGAAUAUUUAUAUGUGUCUUAUAUUGAUUUAGGAUAAUAUAUAUACAAGCGUUGCACGGCUGUCUUCAGUUAAUGUCGUGAGAUUUUGGUUAGUUCCAUUAAAUUAACGUAAACCCUUGCUUUAUUUUUAUAUAAAGUAGUUCUCCGCUAUAUUGGAUAUGAUAA